CCUACGGGUGGCAGCAGUGGGGAAUAUUGGACAAUGGGCGAAAGCCUGAUCCAGCCAUGCCGCGUGUGUGAAGAAGGCCUUCGGGUUGUAAAGCACUUUCAGUGGGGAAGAAAGCCUUGGGGCUAAUACCCUCGAGGAAGGACAUCACCCACAGAAGAAGCACCGGCUAACUCCGUGCCAGCAGCCGCGGUAAUACGGAGGGUGCGAGCGUUAAUCGGAAUUACUGGGCGUAAAGCGCGCGUAGGCGGUCUGAUAAGCCGGUUGUGAAAGCCCCGGGCUCAACCUGGGAACGGCAUCCGGAACUGUCCGGCUAGAGUGCAGGAGAGGAAGGUAGAAUUCCCGGUGUAGCGGUGAAAUGCGUAGAGAUCGGGAGGAAUACCAGUGGCGAAGGCGGCCUUCUGGACUGACACUGACGCUGAGGUGCGAAAGCGUGGGUAGCAAACAGGAUUAGAUACCCCGGUAGUC
rnacentral:rRNA from 1 species